ACCAGACUCCUACGGGAGGCAGCAGUGAGGAAUAUUGGUCAAUGGCCGGAAGGCUGAACCAGCCAAGCCGCGUGAAGGACGAAGGUGCCAAGCAUUGUAAACUUCUUUUGUCAAGGGACAAAAUCAGGCUCGAGAGCCUGACCGAGGGUACUUGAAGAAAAAGCAUCGGCUAACUCCGUGCCAGCAGCCGCGGUAAUACGGAGGAUGCGAGCGUUAUCCGGAUUUAUUGGGUUUAAAGGGUGCGUAGGCGGAGUGUUAAAUCAGCAGUAAAAGCCCGGGGCUCACCCCCGGCAAGCCGUUGAAACUGGCUGUCUUGAGAUGUCGAGAGGUAUGCGGAAUGCGCAGUGUAGCGGUGAAAUGCUUAGAUAUUGCGCAGAACUCCGAUUGCGAAGGCAGUAUACCGGCGGCGAUCUGACGCUGAGGCACGAAAGCGUGGGUAUCGAACAGGAUUAGAUACCCUAGUACA
rnacentral:rRNA from 1 species